rnacentral:tRNA from 1 species
CAAAAUAUAGUUUAAUAAAAAUAUUAAUUUUGGAGAUUAAAGAUAUAAAAAUUAAUUUAUUAUUUUGA